rnacentral:lncRNA from 1 species
GGCACCCUAAUAAAUAUUUUAAAUUUUAUAAAUUUAAAAUAUUUUGAAAAAUAAAUGUAUUAUACUGUCAAUUAAACUCUUAGCUUCUGUUUGGUUCGGGGUUAAGGAAAAAGUAGCUAUUUCAGGGAUAGAGUUAAGUUCAGGGUUAAAGUGGGGUUAAAGUUUUUUGUAUUUUGUUGGGGGUUGGAGUUAGUCUAGAAUAAUGAAAAAUAGUGUUUGGUUGGAGUAGGUGGGAUAAGAAGAUAAUGAUUGAUAAAGAAAGAUAAUAAUUGGUUGGAGUAGGUGAGAUAAGAAAGAUAGUGGAUUAUUAUGAAUAGAAAAUAGUAUUUGGUUGGGGUUUGAUAGGGUUAGGUGGGAUUAGUUAAUCCGGAAUAACCCAUUUGAGAUGGGUUAGCUAACCCCACCUAUUUUUUAGAUUGUUUGGAAAAAGUAUGGGAGUUAAGGGGUUAUUCCAACCCUUAACCGCCACUAAACAAUAGCUUAAAAAAUAUUCUGCAAAAUAAAUUUAUAAACAAAAUUCUAAGAAAUUCUUAACUCCCGAAAUUUUUUUUUUUUUUUUGCAAAAUAAACAAAUAAAAAAAAAAACCAAAGUAACAAAAUA